CCUCAUGGCCAUACCUCCUUGUCAAAGCCUGAUCUCGUCAGAUCUUAGAAGCUAAGCAGGGCUGGAGCUGGUUAGUACUUGGAUGGCAGAUCGCUGGGAAUACCAAGUGCCACAGUGGGGC
rnacentral:rRNA from 1 species